rnacentral:lncRNA from 1 species
CCAACAGUUGAUCUCUGUCACUGGCAACAGGGAGGUCGACAACGACAGGGAGGAGACCAGUGCUCCACACGCACGCGACCUCGUCUUCCAGCGACCGACAGACCCACGUGCAUCCACAUCCCCGGCGGCGGUGACCUGGCAGAGGACGGAGCGGUUGAUCUCCUGCUGGUGCCCACAAUUAAAACUUAAUCAUGGACAUAAUCGAGAUGGAAAAUUGCAGUUUUAAUUGCAAAAAAACUUACAUUAAACCCCAACCAUUUAAUUGAUGUAUUUGCCCUUUGCCUCUCGAGCUAUCCCAUCUUGCUCUGCCACUGUAAUUGGUUAAUUAAAAGGAUUUAGUCAAACAACAUUCGAAUGUUAGUAAAGCCGCUUCAAGUACCCGCACAGGUGGCACACCCCUAGGACCGGGCCUCCUAAGAAGCUAUAUACAAAGUAAAAUGAAUGACUCUACACUCUAGAAUAUGUACGUAGUUUCAUAUUAGAGCAUCUAAAAUGAUUUAUAUUUAGAAAUGGAGGGAGUAGAGAUCAUGGUGCACUCGAUUUGGACCAAGAAAAAUCUGGACAACGGGGAUCAUCACAGGGGUGAGGGUUAGGUUUGGUGGCUACAUAUUUUUUGUCACCGGAGAAAUUUUACAUGAUGUUGCAAAAAAAAAAUUGCGGGGAAUGUUGCAAUAAACUUCGCAACCAGUUCAAUUUUUAAUAUGAAGAAAAAAAUUCAAGAUCCUCAUCAUGUCCUUGGAGAAUUUUUCUUCAUAUUUGACAUGCUUUAAAAUUUUGCCAUUCUUGAAAAAUGUAAGCUGAUUAAUAAAGAUAGGAAUUAUCACAGAUUAUUCAAUAUUUUUUUUUCAGAAAAGAUUCUUAUUCAACAUCAUUUGAAGUUGGUAGUUGGUUCAGUUUCAAACUGUGUUUCAUAUCAUCAGCCUAUAAUUAAAUAAUUUUAAUUGUAGUAACAAAUUUUGACAGAAGUUGAAACUUGAAGUUCUUUUUUUGGGGGGACAAAGGUAGCAAGCCGCUGCUGCACUAUAUUAUAUGCGAGGAAAUUAUUACAGAGUAUUGGGUCAGGAGUUCAUUACCUGGGAAAUGAAUACACAGGAGCACCUACAAGAAUCGAUUUAGGGUUCAUUACGGCCUCCAGGAUAGCAGGCUUGCACCUCUCAGGUCUGCAGAUAGCUGCCGCCUGCCAUAGACUUGCAUGUUCCAGAAGAUUCGAACAUUGCUGCCGUCUGCACAUCUUGCCCUUUGCCUCUCGAGCUACCCAUCUUGCUAUUCGACUUUAAUGUGCACACAUUCGGAAGGCCCUACUUCAAGAAUCACAAGGGCUAAAAAAUUAGAACGCAGGAAAUUUACAUAUGCCAAGUUGAUCACCUAAGCAUUGGGUUAACACAGUGGUGCUACUUUUCUUUUUCGUCCAAAACGGAACCAUCAUAUCUUGAGUUUCCUAUAAACAAUAGUAGAAUGCAUAAGAAUUCUACUACUAAUUAACAACCCACAAAGUAUGACGACGAAGCUUCAGAAACUUAGCAGCUGCAAAUUUUAAAACAAACAAACAUAAAACACAUCGAGUUCCACAAUUGUUUUCCUCGAAACGACAAUUCAUAACACAUGCAUAUAUCUCACCUGGAGCAAAUACCUGUCUUCAUGCCUUCGGAGUAUAUACCAUCUCCAUUAUCCUAGUGCAAGCGCCUCGCAGUCAGCAUCUUUUGUAUGUGCAGUCAGCAUCUGGAGCCAGGCGCUUGCACUACACCGCCGCACGCGCUUACGUUUCGCGUACGUCCUUCCCACCGGCCGGACGGACCGCCGCCCAGCUCCGGCGGCCGGCGAGCAGCUCUCCGGUCAAAGCUGCAGACGUGCAUGCCGCAAACGGCAUAUGCUUUUCCCCGGCGAGCGAGCGUCACACGUGACCGUAUCAGCCUCGUCGUCCACCAAUCCCGGGACGUGCGGUCGCCAUCAAAACCAUGACGUGACGUCGNNN